GGCUCAAUGGUCUAGUGGUAUGAUUCCUGCUUUGGGUUAGUCGCUCAAACUUGCAGGAGGCCCCGUGUUCGAAUCACGGUUGAGCCC